rnacentral:rRNA from 1 species
GAUGAACGCUGGCGGCGUGCCUAAUACAUGCAAGUCGAGCGAACAGACGAGGAGCUUGCUCCUCUGACGUUAGCGGCGGACGGGUGAGUAACUCGUGGAUAACCUACCUAUAAGACUGGGAUAACUUCGGGAAACCGGAGCUAAUACCGGAUAAUAUAUUGAACCGCAUGGUUCAAUAGUGAAAGACGGUUUUGCUGUCACUUAUAGAUGGAUCCGCGCCGCAUUAGCUAGUUGGUAAGGUAACGGCUUACCAAGGCAACGAUGCGUAGCCGACCUGAGAGGGUGAUCGGGCCACCUGGAACCUGAGACCCGGCCCAAACCCCUAGGGGAGGCGGCAGUGGGGAAUCUUCCGCAAUGGGCGAAAGCCUAACGGAGAAACGCCGCGGAAGUGAUGAGGGUCUUCGAAUCGUAAAACUCUGUUAUUAGGGAAGAACAAAUGUGUAAGUACUAUGCACGUCUUGACGGUACCUAAUCAGAAAGCCACGGCUAACUACGUG